rnacentral:rRNA from 1 species
AGGAAGGUAGUGUAGUUAACACCUGCAUUAUUUGACGUUACCUACAGAAGAAGCACCGGCUAACUCCGUGCCAGCAGCCGCGGUAAUACGGGAGGGUGCGAGCGUUAAUCGGAAAUUACGUGGGACGUAAAGCGCAUGCAGGCGGCCUGUUAAGUCAGAUGUAGAAACGGCCCGGGGACUUAACCGUACGGUAAUUGCUAUUUAGAAACGUGGCGAGGCUAGAGUCUUGUAGAGGGGGGUAGGAAUUUCAGGUGUAGCGGUGAAAUGCGUAGAGAUCUGAAGGAAUACCAGUGGCGAAGGCGGCCCCCUGGACAAAGACUGACGCUCAGAUGCGAAAGCGUGGGGAGCAAACAGGAUUAGAUACCCUGGUAG